rnacentral:rRNA from 1 species
CCGGCACGGGUGAGUAACACGUAUGCAAUCCACCUGUAACAGGGGGAUAACCCGGAGAAAUCCGGACUAAUACCCCAUAAUAUGGGCGCUCCGCAUGGAGAGUUCAUUAAAGAGAGCAAUUUUGGUUACAGACGAGCAUGCGCUCCAUUAGCCAGUUGGCGGGGUAACGGCCCACCAAGGCGAUGAUGGAUAGGGGUUCUGAGAGGAAGGUCCCCCACAUUGGAACUGAGACACGGUCCAA